rnacentral:lncRNA from 1 species
AUUUGGGAGAAAUACUCUUCAACCCACUAUACCUUCCAGUGCUGACUAACGUCUGUAUUUAAAUAAACUCUGCAAUUAUCUCAGAAGACUUCCAGAAAGAAACACGUGCCUGUAUACCAGUGCUAUUUAAAGGAAAAGAAUUGCAGUGAAGUAAUAGUUUGACGGCUCCUGAACUGCAGUGUAUACUCCUAGAUGAACCAAAGAUUGAUAAAUUCAAGCAAAGCAUGAGAAUUAUCAGACUAAAAAUAUGAAUGAGUUGAGAUUACAGCAGGAUUCAGAGAUAAGCAGAACUGCCAAAACUAAGCCUGGAAGAUUUAAAUUAUUAAUGAGGUCUUGAUAGAUGUAAUUUACUACAUAC